rnacentral:rRNA from 1 species
GAGUUUGAACCUGGCUCAGGAUGAACGCUGGCGGCGUGCUUAACACAUGCAAGUCGAACGGACUCAUAUUGAAACCUAGUGAAGUAUGAGUUAGUGGCGGACGGGUGAGUAACGCGUGGAAAACCUGCCGUAUACUGGGGGAUAACACUUAGAAAUAGGUGCUAAUACCGCAUAAGCGCACAGCUUCGCAUGAAGCAGUGUGAAAAACUGAGGUGGUAUACGAUGGUUCCGCGUCUGAUUAGCUAGUUGGUGGGGUAAAAGCCUACCAAGGCAACGAUCAGUAGCCGGCCUGAGAGGGUGAACGGCCACAUUGGGACUGAGACACGGCCCAAACUCCUACGGGAGGCAGCAGUGGGGAAUAUUGCACAAUGGGGGAAACCCUGAUGCAGCGACGCCGCGUGAGUGAAGAAGUAUUUCGGUAUGUAAAGCUCUAUCAGCAGGGAAGAAAUACUGACCAUAGGGUCAGCAGACGGUACU